rnacentral:rRNA from 1 species
AUGGCUGGUGUUCUAACGUAGACCCGUAAUCCGGGUUGCGGACAGUGUCUGGUGGGUAGUUUGACUGGGGCGGUCUCCUCCCAAAGAGUAACGGAGGAGCACGAAGGUUAGCUAAUCCUGGUCGGACAUCAGGAGGUUAGUGCAAUGGCAUAAGCUAGCUUGACUGCGAGAGUGACGGCUCGAGCAGGUGCGAAAGCAGGUCAUAGUGAUCCGGUGGUUCUGAAUGGAAGGGCCAUCGCUCAACGGAUAAAAGGUACUCCGGGGAUAACAGGCUGAUACCGCCCAAGAGUUCAUAUCGACGGCGGUGUUUGGCACCUCGAUGUCGGCUCAUCACAUCCUGGGGCUGAAGUAGGUCCCAAGGGUAUGGCUGUUCGCCAUUUAAAGUGGUACGCGAGCUGGGUUUAGAACGUCGUGAGACAGUUCGGUCCCUAUCUGCCGUGGGCGCUGGAGAAUUGAGGGGGGCUGCUCCUAGUACGAGAGGACCGGAGUGGACGCAUCACUGGUGUUCGGGUUGUCAUGCCAAUGGCACUGCCCGGUAGCUAAAUGCGGAAAAGAUAAGUGCUGAAAGCAUCUAAGCACGAAACUUGCCCCGAGAUGAGUUCUCCCUGAGACUUUAAGUCUCCUGAAGGAACGUUGAAGACGACGACGUUGAUAGGUCGGGUGUGUAAGCGCAGCGAUGCGUUGAGCUAACCGAUACUAAUGAACCGUGAGGCUUAACCUU